rnacentral:tRNA from 1 species
GCCUGGGUGGCUCAAUCGGUUAAGCAUCUGACUUCAGCUCAGGUCAUGAUCUCAUGGCUAGUGAGUUCAAGCCCCACAUCGGGCU